CCUACGGGUGGCAGCAGUAGGGAAUUUUGCGCAAUGGGCGAAAGCCUGACGCAGCAACGCCGCGUGAUCGAGAAGCCAUUCGGGGUGUAAAGAUCUGUCAGUGGGGGCGAAAAUUGACGGUACCCACAGAGGAAGCACCGGCUAACUCCGUGCCAGCAGCCGCGGUAAUACGGGGGGUGCAAGCGUUGUCCGGAAUCAUUGGGCGUAAAGAGUUCGUAGGCGGCACGGAAAGUCUGGUGUGAAAGGUAGAGGCUCAACUUCUGGACGGCACUGGAUACUUGCGGGCUAGAAUGCGGUAGAGGUAAGGGGAAUUCCUGGUGUAGCGGUGAAAUGCGUAGAUAUCAGGAGGAACAUCGGUGGCGUAAGCGGUUUACUGGGCCGUAAUUGACGCUGAGGAACGAAAGCCAGGGUAGCAAAUGGGAUUAGAUACCCGGGUAGUC
rnacentral:rRNA from 1 species